CACGUAGGGGGCAAGCGUUGUCCGGAUUUAUUGGGCGUAAAGAGCUCGUAGGCGGUUCGGUAAGUCGGGUGUGAAACCUCCAGGCUCAACCUGGAGAGGCCACCUGAUACUGCUGUGACUCGAGUCCGGUAGGGGAGCGUGGAAUUCCUGGUGUAGCGGUGAAAUGCGCAGAUAUCAGGAGGAACACCAGCGGCGAAGGCGGCGCUCUGGGCCGGAACUGACGCUGAGGAGCGAAAGCGUGGGUAGCAAACGGG
rnacentral:rRNA from 1 species